AACCCAAAUUAACAAGAUCCGGCGUAAAGAGUGUUUAAAUCAAUAUGUAAAUAAAGUUAAUACUUAACUAAACUGUAGUACGUACUAGUUAAUACCAAAAUAAAUGAUAAAAAUGACUUUAAAAUUGUUGACACACGACAACUAAGGAACAAACUGGGAUUAGAUACCCCACUAUGCUUAGUUAUAAACUAAGAUAACUUAAUAACAAAGUUAUUCGCCAGAGAACUACUAGCUGCCGCUUAAAACUCAAAGGACUUGGCGGUGCCCUAAACCCACCUAGAGGAGCCUGUUCUAUAACCGAUAAACCCCGAUAAACCCAACCCUAUCUUGCCAAUA
rnacentral:rRNA from 1 species